AUUGGACCAGAUGUUCCAUAAAGGGGAUGGGAAAACCUUGUCCUCUGAAGUGGACGUCAACGUAGACCCUGCAUCAUUUGUGUGCAGGUUCCUUGUAAAGAUGAACCCAGAGAAGAAUCGAAAGUGGAGAAGACCAAAUCAAGAAAGACCACAUCAAGAUCUGCGGUCUGUUCAAAGGCAUUAAUAAACAAGCGAGAGUCAUCGAUCACAACGGUGCGCCUGCUGGGCACUCAAGCUCACCACACACUGCCUCAG